rnacentral:pre_miRNA from 1 species
UAUAAUGUUUGACUCUUCGUCUGAUUAAAAAAAUUUAUGAUUAAUAUUUUUUAUUAGAUGAUAAAUCAUGAAUAAUACUUUACGCGUGACUAAUUUUUUUUUAACUUUUUGGAAAUCUUUUAAAUAAGACGGAUGGUCAAACAUUGGACAUG